GACGAACGCUGGCGGCGUGCUUAACACAUGCAAGUCGAACGGAAAGGCCCCUUUGGGGGUACUCGAGUGGCGAACGGGUGAGUAACACGUGAGUAACCUGCCCUUGACUUCGGGAUAACUUCAGGAAACUGGGGCUAAUACCGGAUAGGAAUCCUUGCUGCAUGGCGGGGGUUGGAAAGCUUCGGCGGUUUUGGAUGGACUCGCGGCUUAUCAGCUUGUUGGUGGGGUAGUGGCUUACCAAGGCUUUGACGGGUAGCCGGCCUGAGAGGGCGACCGGCCACAUUGGGACUGAGAUACGGCCCAGACUCCUACGGGAGGCAGCAGUGGGGAAUAUUGCACAAUGGGCGGAAGCCUGAUGCAGCAACGCCGCGUGCGGGAUGACGGCCUUCGGGUUGUAAACCGCUUUCAGCAGGGGCGAAGCUUGUGGUGACGGUACCUGCAGAAGAAGCACCGGCUAACUACGUG
rnacentral:rRNA from 1 species